rnacentral:lncRNA from 1 species
AAAAAACAAAAACUAUUUUAUGAUCAAGUUUUCAUAUUUUUAUUAAGCUUUGUUUUGCUUAGAAAAAAACUGAGAUUAAAAUUUUAUUUUUUAAAUUAAAGUUAUUACAUCCAUGUAUCUCUCUGUAUGCACUUUAAAAGUACUUAUUACAUUAAGUUACAGGGUUUUGACUCCUGGGUCUAAAAAGAACACCAAGUCCUGCUAAAUGUUAAACAAUGACAGCAAUUAAAACCCCAUCUUUAGGCCAAGUAGAAGAUGCCUAUCAAAAUAAACUGCAUUCCUGAAACACAGGGCCAGAAAUUAAAGCUAUUCAACUCCCCAAGGCCCAGGGACUAGCAUGGAAGAGGUGGGUGUGUGAGAUUAUAAGGGCUGAUUUUGAGAGAUAAAAUAAGUUCAGUUUCUCUAUAAAUUAAUCAUUAAUGUCAAAGGUACAUUCAUGCAAGACCAGCGUAGGGACCUGUGUCAGAUUAACAAGGUUUUCUUGAAGCAUUAACUGACCCUUAAAAAAAGGCUAUAAGGGUUAUGAAAAGCUUAUGAAAGUUAUAUUUUAUGGUCUAGAUAAAAAUUUAUAGAAUAUAUACAAAAUUUUGAAAAACAAAUUUAAUUGUCUUUAUACUGUUUUUAUUAGAGCUUAUUGAUUGGAAAAUUAAGUCUUCUCUCGCAAAAAAAUGAAGGUUUUUCACCUUUUCUUCUAAAAUCCUUGAGCUAUCACUUUGGUCAAAUGAAUGACUUAUUUUACAAUGACCUGUGAUAUCAAGUGUUUUAAAACUUUGAUAUUUGACAAAGUUUCCAAAAUCAAAUUACAAAUUAUGUCUUUUUCUUAUCUAAUUAAUCCUUUAAGAUAUUAGGUUCCCUAAAGUCCAAAAAUGACAUAAUUUGGCUUACUUGGUAUAAAAAUUAUACAGGAAACAUUGUCACAUAUGAAAUGGUGUUUGGUUUUCUUUAGGCUGUAUUUGUGUAAAUACAUUAUUGGUACAUGUUCCAAAAUCAUGGGCAACUCCUAUAAUUCUGAUAUGACUUAGUGUACAUUAUCAGUAAUAAUUAUAAUUGUUUAAUUAUUGUGUAUCACAGAGGUAACCAAUUUUCUUGUUAAUUGGGUAUUUGACUAUGGCUGUCCUCAAACAUUUUGUCAUCCACAGACAAUCGUUGUCUUGUUUUAGUCCUCCAUAGAAGGUGGUUUUGUAAUCUAAUAUGGAACUCUAACAGGUGUUCUUAAAUGCAGGUUUCUGAUAACUUUGGAGAUUGUGAUAUUAGAAUAGAGAAAAAAACAUUCACGACUCUCGCGGAGAGCUAAAAUGUUCAUGAAUGUCAAGCAAAACAGGAGUUAACUGCAUGAACUGAACUAAUAGAAGACUAAAGUAAUCUUUUUAACUUUUAGCUUAAAAAAUUGCGAUCCUUUGUUUUGUUUUUCGGAGUCAAGAAGACUUUUCUUUUAAGCUAUUUACACCUUUUAACAAUUGAGUAAAGUAUACUCCUAUAAACAAAUUUUAGAGCAUAUGUAUUUCUCUCUACCUGAUUUCUCCAGAAUUUGGAAACUAUUUGUGAGUAUUCUUAACUUAUGACAAUACAGUUAUUUACAUAAGUGCAUAAGAAUCUCUUUUCAUUUAUUACAGGACACAACUGGAGAAGCUGGCUAUUUUGCCAAGGCUUUGACUGGAAUGGUGUGCUUUCCUUUAAGGAAUCAAACUUGACUUAAGAAGUCAAUAAAAGCCCCUUAAAAAACUAGCCUCCUACCUUUGUCUACACAGCCCCUGUACAGGGCUCCUGACCUCUGGUAGAGUCGCUGAAAACUAUGCUGUGCCUUCAUAAAGCCCUGUGAGCUGAAGCAAGACAACUGAAACUUCAGAAUAUAACAGCAACCUAUUUACAUAAAUAAGCCACUUUCAUACCUGCCUACUAAUGUAUGGACUUCAGAGUAAUGGGGCCUAUAUCAAUUUUCCAGGAUUGUUCUUUUGUUUAUUGUGUUUUUCUUUCUUCCUCCCGCUAUUUUCUCUUCACUGGAUGUGAGACUUCACAACCUUUUUAAAAAUAAGAUUUCCUAAUAACUUGGGACCUACCUGUCUAGGAAUAAAGCAUCCUAGCCAUGAGAGAGCAGACAAAACCUGGGACCAGAGAUUUGUUUUCUUCUAAAAUGCUUUCUCCGAAAUAUUUUUAAAAAGAAAAGGGGAGAAAUGUGAAAGGAAAAUAUCUUGGUCCCCCAGAAUCACUAAGCUAAAGAGAAAAUUCAAGCUGGGAACUGUUAGGGCAAACCUGCCUCCCAUUCUAUUCAAAGUCAUCCCUCUUUUGAGAUAAAUGCAUAUCUGAUUGCCUCCUUUGGAAAGGCUAAUAAGAAACUCAAAAGAAUGCAACCAUUUGUCUCUUACCUACCUGUGACCUGGAAGCCCCUGUCUGCUUCAAGUUGUCCUGCUUUUGCUUCAAGUUGUUCUAGCUUUCUGGACAGAACCAAUGUUCAUUUUACCUAUGUUAAUUGAUGUCUCAUAUCUCCCUAAAAUGUAUAAAACCAAGCUGUGUUCUGACCACUUUGGGCACAUGUCAUCAGGACCUCCUGAGGCUGUGUCAUGGGUAUGCGUCCACAACCUUGG